AACGCGAAGAACCUUACCUGGGUUUGACAUCUCCGGACAACCGUAGAGAUACGGCUUUCGUAGCAAUACGACCGGAAGACAGGUGCUGCAUGGCUGUCGUCAGCUCGUGUGGUGACAUGUUGGGUUAAGUCCCGCAACGAGCGCAACCCUUAUCUUUAGUUGCCAGCAUUCAGUUGGGCUCUCUAGAGAGACUGCCGUGGUGAACACGGAGGAAGGUGGGGAUGACGUCAAGUCCUCAUGGCCUUUAUAUCCAGGGCGACACACGUGAUACAAUGGACGGUACAGAGGGACGCGAAACCGCGAGGUGGAGCAAAUCUCAAAAAGCCGUUCUCAGUUCGGAUUGGAGUCUGCAACUCGACUCCAUGAAGUUGGAAUCGCUAGUAAUCGCGGAUCAGCACGCCGCGGUGAAUACGUUCCCGGGCCUUGUACACACCGACGCAC
rnacentral:rRNA from 1 species